UACGUAGGGCGCAAGCGUUAUCCGGAAUUAUUGGGCGUAAAGAGCUCGUAGGUGGCUUGUGCGUCUGCCGUGAAAGCCCGGGUGACUUACCGUAGGUCUGCGGUGGGUACGGGCAGCUAGAGUGUGGUAGGGGAGAUGGAAUUCCUGGUGUAGCGGUGAAAUGCGCAGAUAUCAGGAGGAACACCGGUGGCGAAGGCGGCACUCUGGGCUGGAACUGACGCUGAGGAGCGAAAGCGUGGGUAGCAAACAGG
rnacentral:rRNA from 1 species